GCAUGUUUUGCUAACAUUGUACUAUUGCUUGUACUGCGUGGCCUAUGCCAUUAGGUAAUUUGUUUGAUUCUGGAAGAAGAAGGUGACAUCGAUAAGUUCCAAGGUUACAAACCGUCGGCUGCAGAUGUAUCAAAGGCUACGCGAGAACCUCCCAAGCCUAACAAUGAGGUCCAACUGUCAAGUGUAAAAGGCACCGGUCCUGACGGUGGUAUUCUGAAGGCAGACAUUGAAGAUUACUUGGCUUCUGUAGCCAAGGGUGGCAAGAGCGAGUCUUUUGCAGCUUCAGGAUUAGAUUGCACUGAUAUUCCAAAUGCGCAGAUUAGAAAGGUUACUGCAGACCGCCUCUUAGCCUCUAAACAAACCAUCCCACAUUACUACUUGAC